UGUGCAGGGUACCAGGUAAUUGAGGUAAUAAUGAGGCUAUAAGGAGAACCAGUACUGAGUCAAUGUGCAGGGUACCAGGUAGUUGAGGUAAUAAUGAGACUAUAAGGAAUACCAGUACUGAGUCAAUGUGCAGGGUACCAGGUAGUUGAGGUAAUAAUGAGACUAUAAGGAAUACCAGUACUGAGUCAAUGUACAGGGUACCAGGUAGUUAAGGUAAUAAUGAGACUAUAAGGAGUACCAGUACUGAGUCAAUGUGCAGGGUACCAGGUAGUUGAGGUAAUAAUGAGACUAUAAGGAGUACCAGUACUGACUCAAUGUCCAGGGUACGAGGUAGUUGAGGUAAUAAUGAGACUAUAAGGAGUACCAGUACUGAGUCAAUGUGCAGGGUACCAGGUAGUUGAGGUAAUACUGAGACUAUAAGGAGUACCAGUACUGAGUCAAUGUGCAGGGUACCAGGUAGUUGAGGUAAUAAUGAGACUAUAAGGAGAACCAGUACUGAGUCAAUGUGCAGGGUACCAGGUAGUUGAGGUAAUACUGAAACUAUAAGGAGUACCAGUACUGAGUCAAUGUGCAGGGUACCAGGUAGUUGAGGUAAUAAUGAGGCUAUUAGGAGAAAUAGUACUGAGUCAAUGUGCAGGGGUACCAGGUAGUUGAGGUAAUAAUGAGACUAUAAGGAGAACCAGUACUGAGUCAAUGUGCAGGGUACCAGGUAGUUGAGGUAAUAAUGAGACUAUAAGGAGUACCAGUACUGAGUCAAUGUGCAGGGUACCAGGUAGUUGAGGUAAUAAUGAGACUAUAAGGAGUACCAGUACUGAGUCAAUGUGCAGGGUACCAGGUAGUUGAGGUAAUAAUGAGACUAUAAGGAGAACCAGUACUGAGUCAAUGUGCAGGGUACCAGGUAGUUGAGGUAAUAAUGAGACUAUAAGGAGUACCAGUACUGAGUCAAUGUGCAGGGUACCAGGUAGUUGAGGUAAUAAUGAGACUAUAAGGAGAACCAGUACUGAGUCAAUGUGCAGGGUACCAGGUAGUUGAGGUAAUAUCCACAUGUAGGUAGGGGUAUAAGUGACUAGGCAACCAGAAUAGAGAUUA